AGGGGAAAACAUAAAGCUUCUUUCUUUCUCUUUCUCUAAUCAAGUUUCUUCUUCGAUUUCUUCCGACUCUUUCAAGUUAGAAAUUUUGGCUAGAAAUUCUUCGCCUCUUCUCUCCGUUGCCGCCUCUAAAGAAUAUGUCAUCUUUUGAUGAGAAUGGAGAUCUUAAUUCCGUAUUUGUUGACUCGAUGAUGGAGUCUGAUGAGGAGGGAAGACAAAAUUUAGCAGCAAAAAAAGCUUCUCUCGAUAAAAAUGCCAGAAAGAGGAAGAGAAAGUCCAAGUGGUGGAGUCAUUUUUCAGUUGAUGAGGAGGAUCCCACUUUUGCUUCCUGUAAGUAUUGUCAUAAACUUAUUGGUUGUAAAACCAAAAAUGGCACUACACCUUUAGAAAAUCACAUUAGUAGGUGCAAAAAAUAUCCUCCAAAUUUGGAUAAGAAACAAAAAUUGAUUGAUUUUGAAAGUGAAACAUUGAUAAAUGAAGAUGGAAGUACUGAAACAGUUAGUGUACCAAAAUGUUGGAAAUUUUAUCAUGAUUUGUGUAGGAAGAAGCUUGCUAAAAUGCUUAUUUUGGAUGAAUUGCCUUUUGCUUUUGUCGAACGUGAAGGUUUCAUUGAAUUCUGCAAGGCUUUAAAUCCUGUCUUUAAGCUUCCUUCUCGUACAACUGCCACUAGAGAUUGUUAUGCUCUUUUUAUUGAACAAAGAAAUGAGUUGAAAAAGACUUUUAAGAACUUAAAUUCUAGGGUUUGUCUAACCACAAACACUUGGACAUCGGGUCAAAAUUUAAGCUAUAUGUGUUUGACAGCCCAUUUUAUUGUUGAUGAAUGGAAUUUGUAUAAGAGGAUAAUUAAUUUUCGUUCAAUUGUUGGUCAUUCGGACAACUUAUUGGUAGAGCUGUUGAAAAAUGCUUGAUUGAAUGGGGUUGGAAAAACAUUAUGACUGUAACGUAUACAAUACUAGCUCAAAUGAUUUAACAAUUGAAUAAUUGAGAAGAAGACUUACCAUUUGGGAAUCUAGUUUAUUGGAGGGUCGAUAUUUACAUAUGAUAUGUGCAUCCCACAUUUUGAAUUUGAUUGUGAAAGAGGGUUUGAAAGAACUUGAUUUGUCCAUUAUGAAAUUUCAAACUCUUGUGAUAUAUGUUAAAUCUUCUCCCUCUAGACUUCAAAAUUUUAAAACUUGCAUAGAAUAGGAGAAAGAGGAUAGAAAAAGUUUGGUUACUUUAUAUGUUGAGACUAUAUGGAAUUCAACUUUCCUAAUGCUCGAAUCUGCUAUCAUGUUUAAAAAGGCAUUUUCUAGUUUAUACAUGAAAGACUCUUCUUGUUUCAAGGAACUUAGAAAGGUUGGUGGUGGUCCCAUUGAAGAUGAUUGGAAGAGGGUGAGUAGUUUUUUACCUUUCUUGAGCAUUUUUUAUGAAGCAACAUUGAGGUUAUCUGGUUCUCGUUAUGUGACUUGAAACCAUUAUGCACAUGAGAUUUACGGGACUAGAUUAAUGAUUUACAACAUAAGUGAUGAUGAUGAGUGUAUUAAGAAAAUGGCAGCCCAAAUGAAGUUUAAGUAUGAAAAGUAUUAUGGGAACAUUGAUAAUAUCAAUAUUAUGAUGUUUGUGGCUGUGAUCCUUGACCCUAGGCACAAGUUGAAUUAUGUUAAUUGGACUGUGCAUGAUUCUUAUGAUGAAACACAAGCCACUCUUUUGUGCCUCAAAAUUAAGAUGGUCUUGCAAUCUUUAUUUGACUCAUAUGCUUCUUCAAUGCCUCCUUCAAAGACAAGUGAUAUGUCUUCCUCCACUUCUACUUCUUUAUCUAAUUUCACUCAAGGUGGGACUCAAAGUGGAGGUAAGAUUGAUCUUCAACAACUUAUGGCUUCAAAAUUUCAAAGGAAUACGGGUUGUUUGUUAACUAGUGCCAACAAAAAUGAGUUGGAUAAGUAUUUAGAAGAUGCUUGUGAGUCUCAUGUUUCAAAUUUUGAUAUCCUACAAUGGUGGAAAGAUUAACCAAAAAGAUACUCGAUUCUUCAUAGGAUGGCUAAAGAUGUACUUGUCAUACCUAUCUCGACUAUAGCUUCUGAGUCGGCUUUUAGUAUGGGGGUUGUGUCCUUGAUCCUUUUCAUAUUUCAUUGACUCCAAAAAUGGUUGAAGCGCUUGUUGCACGCAAGAUUGGUUACACACCUCUCGGUCACCUAUUAUAAUAGAGGAAAGUUUAAUUGCCUUGGAAGAGUUGGAGGAAUCCAUGAAGGAUCUAACUUUAGAGCAAUCGGAGAUCAUAAUUGACGAGACAAUUAAUACUUUGGAUGAUUUGUAAUUUUGAAGUACUUAGUG